AUUGAACGCUGGCGGCAGGCCUAACACAUGCAAGUCUAGCGAGCGGCGGACGGGUGAGUAAUGUCUGGGAAACUGCCUGAUGGAGGGGGAUAACUACUGGAAACGGUAGCUAAUACCGCAUACCCUCAGAUGUGCCCAGAGGGGAUUAGCUAGUAGGUGGGGUAACGGGUAACGUAGGCUACGAUCCCUAGCUGGUCUGAGAGGAUGACCAGCCACACUGGAACUGAGCCACGCUCCAGACUCCUACGUGAGGCAGCAGUGGGGAAUAUUGCACAAUGGGCGCAAGCCUGAUGCAGCGAUGCCGCGUGUGUGAAGAAGGCCUUCGGGUUGUAAAGCACUUUCAGCGGGGAGGCGUUACCCGCAGAAGAAGCACCGGCGAACUCCGUGCCAGCAGCCGCGGUAAUAC
rnacentral:rRNA from 1 species